GCACUGCCUGGGAGUGGUAGCUGGUGUGGAACAAGCGAUCUGCCUUCAGCAGCACAGAGAGGCCUGCCUGGAGGAGACGGAAAGAGGCUGUAAGCAACUUGAGGACAAGGACCAGUCUGGGCCAUCUAUGUGCUUCCCAUGACACCAUGGAAAGCACCUCAUACAUCAGAGCUGAAAUGAGCUCACUGAUCUUCCUUGAAGGUGCUUGGCUGGGCAAAACAAUGCCUACUGCCCUGUGUAUACCCUGGGAAUAAAGCUCUACUCCCAUGGAAUAGCUGCCUACUGGAAAUGCUGUCCCCAAGAGCAGUCGCAGGAUAACAACACCUUCCCAGCAACGUUCCCUCCACGGCCUGUAAUGGGGCCCAAGGUGUGCACUCACUC